ensembl:lncRNA
ACCUAUCAUUUGAAGAAUCGUGAUGCCUGCGCGAGGAAGACUUUCGCGAAAAUAAUCCCCCAUACAGAGAGAGAGAGAGACCGGGAGAGACAGAGAGCGAGAGAGAGAGCGCGCACGCUGGGCAUUACAGACCGCAACCUGAUACCUCUGUCACGUACCACACGCACAGACGCGUCCGCAGAUGAGUCCAGAUAUGAGAAUGUGUGUAUAAGAUCUACAAACACAUUCUUCAGGGAUCUCAUUCAUCACUUGGUCACUGAACAAACAACACAUUUCACCUCGCGGAGCUCAAAGGAUGACGGAUUGAUUUCACGCACGCCGGGGUUCCGCAUAUGGACAUUAUUAAUAGGGCAAAGUGCACAUCUGGACAUAAUUAAUAUGUCAAAGGUCAAACUCAUUAAUCAUUAUGACGUUUGCUGGCGGUUAUGAACUACUAACAUAAACAUGUAUUUUCAAGAGUAGCACGAAAUUAAACACUGCAACAGGUGGUACAGUGCAAAGCAAAUUGACAUAAGAUUAAAGGUAAGCUACUGUUUUAUUUAUUUUGAUGAAAAUGUUGACAUGGCUCAAAUAUUUAAAUGACUUAAACAAGAUAUGCUGGAAUGUCUUUGUGACGAGUGGGGCGGGGCCGAGAGCCGUGGGAACGGAGCGAGGCCAGUGGAGUGAUUGGGAAAUGAGCAACACCUGCUCCACUCACCGGUCUCGAGUCCCACGGAGGAGAUCGGAAGGAUAUUAAAGAGGAGCGACGACAGUGAAGGACGAGAGAGGACCAGGCCUGGGCUUUAUUUUGUGUUUGGUUUUUGUUUGUGCGCGGCAGUCGACCGUGAGGGGCUGUCGCGCUGUUUUGUGUUUAUUUUGUUAUUAAGGUUUUAUUUGAGUGUUCGCCGGUUCCCGUCUCCUUCUUCCCGUGACUAUGGAGUUUUAUAUUGUUACAGUCUUAUGCCAUGAAGUUACUUCUUUUUUUUUUUUUUAUAAAUUCAUAUUCAGUUUAGCUUCUCUCAAGUGGCUACCAGUGAACAACAGGAAAAUAUAAAACUC